CUUUGUAACAACCAUUGUAUCACGUUUGUAGCCCAGAUCAUAAGGGGCAUGAUGAUUUGACGUAAUCCCCACCUUCCUCCAAUUUUUCAUUGGCAGUCUCGUUAAAGUCCCCAUCAUUACAUGCUGGCAACUAACGACAAGGGUUGCGCUCGUUUUAGGACUUAACCUAACAUCUCACGACACGAGCUGACGACAACCAUGCACCACCUGUUUUCCUGAUGACCUCCAUUAUAUUUCUAUAACUUCGCAAGAAAAUGUCAAGACCUGGUAAGGUUUUUCGUGUAUCUUCGAAUUAAACAACAUGAUCCACCGCUUGUGCGGAGUCCCGUCAAUUCCUUUAAGUUUCAUACUUGCGUACGUACUACUCAGGCGGAGUACUUAAUGUGUUAACUUCAGUACCAGUUUUACCCGACACUUAGUACUCAUCGUUUACGGCGUGGACUACCAGGGUAUCUAAUCCUGUUUGCUCCCCACGCUUUCGUGCCUCAGCGCGGUUAAAAGACAAAAAAAAAAAAAAAACCGCCG
rnacentral:rRNA from 1 species